rnacentral:rRNA from 1 species
CGUGUAGGCGGUCGGUCAAGUCCGAUGUGAAAGCCCGGGGCUCAGCCCCGGAAGGGCAUCGGAAACUAGCCGGCUGGAGCGCGAUAGAGGAGGGUAGAAUUCCUGGUGUAGCGGUGAAAUGCGUAGAUAUCAGGAGGAAUACCGGCGGCGAAGGCGGCCCUCUGGAUCGUUGCUGACGCUGAGACGCGAAAGCGUGGGGAGCAAACA